rnacentral:rRNA from 1 species
AACGAACGCUGGCGGCAUGCCUAACACAUGCAAGUCGAACGAGACCUUCCUGUCUAUUUGCGCUCGUGUGCUUACCACGUGGUAACCUGCCCUUAGGUUCGCUGUCCCUCCCCUUAGGGUAUCCUCAUACCAGUUGAUGUCUUCGGGCCAAAGAUUUAUCGCGUUUGGAUGGGCACUCGUUGGUUUAGCUAGUUGGUAGGGUAAAAGCCUACCAAGGAGACGUUGCAUAGCUGGUCUGAUAGGAUGAUAAGCUACACUGGCACUGCGACACGGCCCAGCCUCCGACGGGAGGGAGCAGUGGGGAAUAUUGGACAAGGGGCGAAAGCCUGAUCAAGCAAUGCGGGGGGAGAGAGGAAGGGCUUAGGGUUGUAAAGCUCUUUUACACGGGAUGAGAAUGACAGUACCGGGAGAAGAAGCUCCGGCUAACUCCGUG